rnacentral:rRNA from 1 species
UACGAAGGUGGCAAGCGUUGUUCGGAUUUACUGGGCGUAAAGGGAGCGUAGGUGGUUAGGUAAGCCCUCCGGGAAAUCUUCAGGCUUAACCUGAAAAGGUCGGGGGGGACUGCCUGGCUAGAGUGCGGGAGAGGAGAGUGGAAUUCCUGGUGUAGCGGUGAAAUGCGCAGAUAUCAGGAGGAACACCAAUGGCGAAGGCAGCUCGCUGGGACGGUACUGACGCUGAGACGCGAAAGCGUGGGGAGCAAACAGG